rnacentral:sRNA from 1 species
GCUGGGUGUGGUGACGCAUACCUGUAAUUCCAGUGACUUGGGAGGCUGAGGCAGGAGGAUUGCAAGUUGGAGGUCAGCCUCAA